AUUCAUUUAAUAUAAUAUAAAUUAUAUAGAGAUUUCAACUCUAAAAUACUUAAAUUACUUUAAGUAAUGAAUU
rnacentral:tRNA from 1 species